GGGCCGUAUGCACGUAGUCGGUUUUGAUUGCGCUUCCAGCUUUAAGGGCCGUAUGCACACAAUCGGAUUAGAAGCCAGACACUACACUUCCAGCCCACGACGAUCAUUAUCACGUCAAAAGGCCGUGCCAUGUAGACUAACACUCGCUAAUGCUUUUAAGGACAGCCGACUACACUUUACCCUCUAUUAAGUAUUAGAUACUGUUCAAUGGGUAAA
rnacentral:misc_RNA from 1 species